UCAAAAACAUGUCUUAUUGUAAAUAAUUUUAAGUCUAGCCUGCCCCCUGAGUUGAUUAAAUGGCCGCGGUAUUUUGACCGUGCUAAGGUAGCAUAAUCAUUAGUUUCUUAAUUAGAAGCUGGAAUGAAUGGUUGGAUGAAAAAGUGACUGUCUCUAUUAAAAUAGAUUAAAAUUUUAUUUUUUAGUAAAAAAGCUAAAAUUUUUUUGAAAGACGAGAAGACCCUAUAGAGUUUAAUAUAGAUUUUUUAUUAAUAUUUAUUAGAAUAUAAAUUUUUAAUUUUAUAAUAUAUUUGAUUGGGGUGAUUAAAAAAUUUAAUAAACUUUUUUUAUUAAAAUACAUUAAUUUAUGAGUAUUUGAUCCGUAAAUUACGAUUAUAAGAUUAAAUUACCUUAGGGAUAACAGCGUAAUGUUUUCAGAGAGUUCUUAUCGAAGAGAAAGAUUGCGACCUCGAUGUUGGAUUAAAAUAAAUAAUUGGUGUAGAAGCUAAUAUUAUUAGGUCUGUUCGACCUUUAAAAUUUUACAUGAUCUGA
rnacentral:rRNA from 1 species